UAAUUCUGGUUUUUAUUAUUCAUUUUUAUCAUUGACAGAGAUGGAUGAUAAGAAGUCCAAAAUUUGAUGGCUAUUGUACUAGAGCUAUGAAUUGUUAAAUUAGUACCUGGAAAAAUUUAUUAAAUAGUAUAAUGAUUUUUUUUGUAAAAUUUCACUUUAUUCACACUUCAACAAUACUUUAAUUGAAGGUUACUGUAUGUAUAUAAUACCUUUGUAUUUAUUAUUUAUAUUAGUGACCAGUAAUUUUAUAUCUCCUGUAUUUUAAGGUGGCUAAUUUCUCUAUUUAUAUGUUUUGAAGGAUAAAGCUCCCCUGCUCCCUCCCUCCCACCAUCACCAUUGUGAUUUCCUCAUAUAGCUAUAAAGAUACUUUUUAGACACAUCCUUAAGCACCUUUUAGUUAAUUUUAAGUGUGAUAUAUUCUGAAUUCUGAUUAUAAUAGUAUAAUAAUGUGUCCAC